AUUGAACGCUGGCGGCAUGCCUUACACAUGCAAGUCGAACGGUAACAGGUCUUCGGAUGCUGACGAGUGGCGAACGGGUGAGUAAUACAUCGGAACGUGCCCGAGAGUGGGGGAUAACGAAGCGAAAGCUUUGCUAAUACCGCAUACGAUCUCAGGAUGAAAGCAGGGGGCCGCAAGGCCUUGCGCUCACGGAGCGGCCGAUGGCAGAUUAGGUAGUUGGUGGGAUAAAAGCUUACCAAGCCGACGAUCUGUAGCUGGUCCGAGAGGACGACCAGACACCCUGGGACUGAGACACGGCCCAGACUCCUACGGGAGGCAGCAGUGGGGAAUUUUGGACAAUGGGCGCAAGCCUGAUCCAGCCAUGCCGCGUGCAGGAUGAAGGCCUUCGGGUUGUAAACUGCUUUUGUACGGAACGAAAAGACUCCUUCUAAUAAAGGGGGUCCAUGACGGUACCGUAAGAAUAAGCACCGGAUAACUACGUGCCAGCAGCCGCCGCCGUAA
rnacentral:rRNA from 1 species